rnacentral:rRNA from 1 species
CGCGUAGGCGGUCGGGUAAGUCAAGUGUGAAAUUCCGGGGCUCAACCCCGCGAACUGCAUUCGAUACUGCUCGACUAGAGAGAGGUAGGGGCGAGUGGAAUUCCCGGUGUAGCGGUGGAAUGCGUAGAUAUCGGGAAGAACACCGGUAGCGAAGGCGGCUCGCUGGGCCUUUUCUGACGCUGAAGCGCGAAAGCGUGGGGAGCAAACA